UACGUAGGGGGCGAGCGUUGUCCGAAGUUACUGGGCGUAAAGCGCGCGUAGGCGGGAAAUUAAGUGAGAAGUGAAAGGCUGGGGCUCAACCUCAUGCAGUGCUUCUCAUACUGGUUUUCUUGAGGGCGGUAGAGAAAAGUGGAAUGGCUGGUGUAGCGGUGAAAUGCGUAGAUAUCAGUCGGAACACCGGUGGCGAAGGCGGCUUUUUGGGCCGGUACUGACGCUGAGACGCGAAAGCGUGGGGAGCGAACAGG
rnacentral:rRNA from 1 species